AGAACUAGCGACUUGUUUCUUUGAUUUUUUUGUUUUUGCUUUUCCUUUCUUCGAUUCCUCAACAGAUUUCUUCUGUUUCAACUCCUUCUGCUCAUACUUCUUUGAUAACCUUUUGAGAAGUUGAAGUUCUUGUUCCGUCAGGGAGUUUGAGGAAGAAGAGGUGGAACUCGAUUCGGCUAUUGUUAGGGUUUUGAAGCAGAGAGCGAUUUAGGGUUUUG
rnacentral:lncRNA from 1 species